AUUGAACGCUGGCGGCAGGCUUAACACAUGCAAGUCGAGCGGAAAGACGUUGCUUGCUUCAUGUUCUAGCGGGGGACGGGUGAGUAAUGCAUAGGAAUCUCCCUAUUUGUGGGGGAUAACAUCCUGAAAGGAGUGCUAAUACCGCAUACGCCCAUCGGGUGAAAGCGGGGGAUCUUCGGACCUUGCGCUCUUAGAUGAUUGUAGGCGGGGUUAGCUAGUUGGUGGGGUAAGGGCCUACAAAGCCGACGAUCCGUAGCUGGUCUGGGAGGCUGAUCGGCCACACGGGAACGGGAACGGGGCCAGGACUCCUACGGGAGGAACCAGUGGGGAAUAUGGGGCAAUGGGGGAAAGCCUGACCCAGCAAGCCGGAGGGGGGGAGAAAGACGUUCGGUUGGGAAAGACGUUUUGCGGGGAGGAAACAGCUGUAGGUUAAAACGAAGCUGUGUUGACGGUACUCGCAGAAUAAGCACCGGCUAACUACGUG
rnacentral:rRNA from 1 species